rnacentral:tRNA from 1 species
UCCCUGGUGGCUAAGAGAGUAAAGAACCUGCCUGCAGCGCAGGAAACCCAGGUUCCAUCCCUGGGUCGGGAA